ACAGCAGUAGCCGCGGUAAUACGUAGGUGGCAAGCGUUGUCCGGAAUUAUUGGGCGUAAAGGGCUCGCAGGCGGUUUCUUAAGUCUGAUGUGAAAGCCCCCGGCUCAACCGGGGAGGGUCAUUGGAAACUGGGAAACUUGAGUGCAGAAGAGGAGAGUGGAAUUCCACGUGUAGCGGUGAAAUGCGUAGAGAUGUGGAGGAACACCAGUGGCGAAGGCGACUCUCUGGUCUGUAACUGACGCUGAGGAGCGAAAGCGUGGGGAGCGAACAGGAUUAGAUACCCGGGUAGUCCCUGUCUCUUAUAA
rnacentral:rRNA from 1 species